rnacentral:rRNA from 1 species
AUUGAACGCUGGCGGCGUGCUUAACACAUGCAAGUCGAGCGGUAACAGGCGUGGCAAUACGUGCUGACGAGCGGCGAACGGGUGCGUAAUACAUGGGAAUCUGCCCUUUGGUGGGGAAUAACCCGGCGAAAGCCGGGCUAAUGCCGCAUAAGAUCUUCGGAUGAAAGCGGGGGAUCGUAAGACCUCGCGCCGAUGGAUGAGCCCAUGUCGGAUUAGCUAGUUGGUGAGGUAACGGCUCACCAAGGCGACGAUCCGUAGCUGGUCUGAGAGGACGGCCAGCCACACUGGGACUGAGACACGGCCCAGACUCCGACGGGAGGCAGCAGUGGGGAAUAUUGGACAAUGGGCGAAAGCCUGAUCCAGCGACGCCGCGUGUGUGAAGAAGGCCUGCGGGUUGUAAAGCACUUUCGAUGGGAACGAAAUGUGUCGGGCUAAUACCCCGGCAAGCUGACGUUACUCAAUGAAGAAGCACCGGCUAACUCUGUGCCAGCCGCCGCGGUAAAAC